rnacentral:rRNA from 1 species
GACGAACCGUGCGAACGUUGUUCGGAAUCACUGGGCUUAAAGGGCGCGUAGGCGGAUGUCCAAGUCAGGAGUGAAAUCCUCCGGCUUAACCGGAGAACUGCUUGUGAUACUGGACGUCUGGAGUGAGGUAGGGGCAUGUGGAACUUCCGGUGGAGCGGUGAAAUGCGUAGAUAUCGGAAGGAACACCGGUGGCGAAGGCGGCAUGCUGGACCUCAACUGACGCUGAGGCGCGAAAGCCAGGGGAG